CCCAAAUCCAUCCCAAAAUGACCCCAAAACUGACCCUAAAUCCACGCCAAAACUGACCCCAAAUCCACCCCAAACUGACCCAAAACUGACCCUAAAUCCAUCAGAAACUGACCCAAAACUGACCCUAAAUCCUCCCCAAACUGAUCCCAAAACUGAUCCUAAAUCCACCCUAAAACUGACCGUAAAUCCAUCCCAGAAUGACCCCAAAUCCACCCCAAACUGACCCAAAACUGACCCUAAAUCCAUCAGAAACCCACCCAAAACUGACCCCAAAUCCAUCACAAAACUGACCCCAAAACUGACCCCAAAUCCAUCCCAAACUGAACUCAAAAUCCAUCCCAAAACUGACCCCAAAUCCACCCCAAAUCCGACCCCAGCCCCGGUUCCUGAGCAGAUCUGAGCUCACCUCCUGUGCCCACCUCUCCCAUUUUGGGGCUGUUUCCCAUUUUUCACCCUUUUUUCACUGUUUUUUCCCAUUUUCCCCCCAUUUUUUCCCCAUUUUCCCACAUUUUUUCCCAUUUUUCCCCAUUUUUUCCCCAUUUUUCCCCAUUUUCCCCCUGUCUCACCGGUGCAGCAGGAUCCUCCUGAGGCAGGCUGGCACUCAGGGCUCAGCUCUCCCAUUUUGGGGCCGUUUCCCCAUUUUUAGGCCGUUUUUCCCCAUUUUUUCACCGUUUUUAGCCAUUUUUUCACCGUUUUUCCCCAUUUUUUCACCGUUUUUUCCCAUUUUUCCCCAUUUUUCCCCAUUUUUCCCCAUUUUUUCCCCUGUCUCACCGGUGCAGCAGGAUCCUCCUGA
rnacentral:lncRNA from 1 species